GGUGGACACUUCCAAAGGGAUCGCAUUGAUCUAAGUCUUGCAUUGCUUUUCACUGAUUUCGAUCAUGCCAUCCCUUUGGAAUUUUCCAU
rnacentral:pre_miRNA from 1 species